CACGUAGGGCGCAAGCGUUGUCCGGAUUUAUUGGGCGUAAAGAGCGUGUAGGCGGUCUGUCGCGUCUGCCGUGAAAACCCGAGGCUUAACCUCGGGCUGGCGGUGGAUACGGGCAGACUAGAGGUAGGUAGGGGAGAAUGGAAUUCCCGGUGUAGCGGUGAAAUGCGCAGAUAUCGGGAGGAACACCGGUGGCGAAGGCGGUUCUCUGGGCCUUACCUGACGCUGAGGAGCGAAAGCGUGGGGAGCGAACAGG
rnacentral:rRNA from 1 species